UUGAAGGGAUAGCUCAGUUGGUGGAGCAUGAGACUCUUAUAAUCUCAGUAUUGUGAGUUUGAGCCCCACUUUGGGUAAA